rnacentral:lncRNA from 1 species
UCCUAAUAAAAAACAAAAGCCUCUCUCAUUUAGGGUAAGAAACUAGACGAAGCCGACUACGCAUCUCUCUCUCUUCCCAUUUCAUCUAAUCUCAUGUUUCUUCUUCUCCUCCUCUUUUUUUAAGCCCCGAUUUAGUUUCUUACCAUGCUCUCGGUAAUGGCCAGGUGCGGAGCCAGAACCAAAUGGAAUUCCCAAAUUGAAAUCGUCGGGAGACAGAGUGAGUAGAGGCGAGAGCAGAAGUGCAGAAGCAGCAAAACCUAUGACAAGUAGUGAUGGUCGAUGAGCUACGAGUGUCAACUAUCGAGUCGUGGGUGCCAGUUCUUCGGGGUGAUGGAGACGGACUGACAGUGUCACGGACCUCAUGGUGAGUCGUCGAGUCGGUAAGUGCCUUUUAAUUUUCGACCCUGUUCAGUUUUUCUGUUCGGCGUUAGCCCUGUUUUUGUUUCUUUUUUUUUAAUUAUUGUUUUUGUUCUGUGUUGAGUGUUGAUGGAAGGAAUGGAUUAUGGUGGAUAUACACUAAUUAUUCCAAAAAAGGAUUGCGGUAAAAGAAACUUUAUUUUUAUAAUAAUUAAUUCAUGUAAAGCUGGCGAAAUGAAUUGCGUUUGGAUUCUGAACAUAUGAAUAGAUUUAUCCCAAUUUUACAUGAAUUAUAUAGAUAUUUCAUGAAUUAACUCACUUGAUACACAUUUUAUAGAAUGUGUUAACAAUAAAAAUAAAAGAUAAAAAAAAAAUCUAUUUGAUGUGGAGUUGGAGUUGGAGUUGGAUAUAUAAAUAUACUUGUCGAGUUUCAUAAUUUUGUAGAGUCAAUCAAUAUGACCGAUAUUGUAUUGUGCGAUUUUGCCUAACCCUUUUAAUGAUAGGGCUCCUAGGCAUCUUAUUGAAUAGUUCUAUUCAAAAUGUUCUGAUUGCAAUGACUAGUGAUUGAAAGAUGGAAGUGAGCUUGAUGAGCAGUGCAUUUAGGAUGUACUAAGUGAGCUCACCUAAUUAAGUUUCCAUCGCCUACAAGUUCCUUCAUAGACUUGUAAAAGAAUGAAUAAUGAUCAAUACCAGCCAUCUGGCUAUGCUUCUGAACAUAGUGGACUUUAUCCAUUCUUAUUCUCUGCAAAAUAAAAUUGUAUUUAAUAGGAAAGAAACAUGGGGUUUCGUGAGAUGGAGCCUGUUAAGUGAGGGAGCUGUUUAAAUUAGUGGGGGCAUAAUAUUAGGGAUUUCUGAAACUGUCUAUGGGUUAAAUUGUCUAUCUAGAUUUAUUGAUAAGGCCCUUAAAGAGGAGAAGUAGUUGCAAUAGGGAACCUCUCCUAGUUGUUGUCAAUAUGAUUUCGUGCAUUUCCUACGUACAUGAAUUAAAAUGAUGGCAACGACUUUUGUCAAUAGUGUACUCUAUCUACACAGACAAAGUAUCUCCAAUAAUUGGACUCUAAAGAAUGCACUCUUGAGAUGUGAUAUAUGAUAAUGUUUGAUAUGAGCUAUAUGGAUAAUUGAAAGUGGGCAGUUUAGUCCCUAUCUUUCCUACUUGAUUAUAGCAUAUAUUUAUUGACACCACACACAUAAUCUCUUGGUAAAAUUUACCGAAGUUCCAUCUAGGUCAGAAGGCAUUUAACAUAAGUUCUAGAGAUGACAAGAGAUUUUUUUGUCUGUUCAUGCUCUUAUGGUAGCCUGGACUAUAGUGCAAUCUUCUGGUUGUUGAUUACGGUGUUAUGAUAUAAAUGAACUUCUCCUAAACAUUUCAGGUGAUACCUCUUUCACUAUGGAUUGAAGAAAUACAGACUCCAAAUGCUGUUUUGUCGAAGCACCAAGUAUCUUCAAGGUGGGAGGCUCUUUCCUAUAAGAAAUAUGCAGGCUACGAAGAAAGUACUGGGAAUGAUUUUUGAGAUUUAGCCAACCCAAUAGUUUGAAGACAACAAGUUGUAAAUUAUCUUCUUUUAUACAAUAAUUUUUUAUUGUUUAAGAGGAGUGUAAAAUGAUGUUGAUUUAAUGGGCAAUAUGUAAAUGAAAAUUUUUCUUCGAUUUAUUACAAUAAUGUGUUUUGUCUAUUUGGUAUGGAUUAAUAAAAUUAUAUUAAUGUCAUGUUGGCCCA